GGAAACACUCAUCCUGGGCAGCAGGGCAACCAGUAUAACCAGAACAGGUCCAGACCCGACAGAUACUGCACCAUGUUGUUUUUUAACAAUGGUGAAACCCAAAUUUCUUGGGCUAUGCCCUUUUUCAGAAUUUUCCUUUUGUGUUUUUGAGUCAGACUUUCCCUGUAGUCAUGUUGGGCUGCACACACUUCAUUUCAGCUUAUCGGGCAUCCUUGAACUGUCUAGAGCCUGGAUCAAAGACUGCUGGAGAAAACAAAGUGGUGUUGUUAUCAAUGACAAGAAAGGUGUGACCCCCAGAGGCCUUUGGAAAGCGUUUACAAAUAUUUCGUUUAUCUAGUUGUCUUGUUCAGAUGAGAAUGAACAAAUAAAAAAUGAUCAAUACUAUAAAUUCAUGAUUCGUAAGGAUGGAUUCAUUUAAGAGUACAGUUGGUUUGGAUAAAUUUUGAGUGUUUAAAUUUGUACUAUAGGAAUUUAUUUCUGUACAAUUACUUUGGAUUGAGCUGGGUUUCUCCCCUAACAUUAUGACCUAGAAGUUUUGAUUUAAAAGGUAAAACAAAGUAUCACAGGCCACUUAUUACACUGAUGGUAUGUGAGCAGGUAUUCUAGACCCAGUUAGGCCUAACAUCAUGCUAAUGAAAUUAAAGAGAACCAUUAGACUUUGUUCUAUAGGGUUUUUGUUUGCUUGUUCUAAUUUCCUCAUCAGUUCUAAAAAAAGCCUCACAAGGACACCAUAUGAUUACCAUUUUCCAACAUGUACAGAAGUAAAAACUGAGAUUUAGACUGAGAUUUAAAUUGUGAGAGGAUUUUACCCCUGUGCAACUUCAUCUAGAUGCCUAAAAAAACAGAAUUUAGUGUAUGAAUCCUUCUUUGUUUUCUGGCUCAAAGCUUGCUUCCUGAGGUAUUUCUUGAGAUAAGACUCUAGGAGAUGAGAAGUGGGUGUUGCCAUGUGGCAGUCAACAUCACAGUCUGAACAAUUUUACAUUUGAAAUCAUUUCUUUGGAGUGGUUUGCCUUCGGCCUAAGAGUUAAAGGAGUGCUCAGGACUGUUUACUGGACUGUUAACUGAUGGAAGAUCUGUCCUGUGACCAAAUAACUCCAGCUUGCUAUGGGAGGCUGGGGGAUGAUACCAUUGUAUCCUGUGAAGACAAGAUACAAGUUGGCAUUUCCAUCCUCCCUCUUAUCUGCUGGCAAGGCCAGGGAUACGGGAACAAAGGGAGUUCCUGCUGAGAUCCAAAAGCCAGAAGCGGUCACUCCAAAAAGAGCUGACUCAGCCACUUUGGACUUAUAAAUAAGUUUGUACUGUCAUUGGAAAUCGCUGCAAUCAUCGCCGUUGUCACUGUGGUCACUGUCCUCGUCAACGGAACAACACCCAGUGACACACCUCUACUGAAGAUCAACGACUGAACCACGAACCACGCUGGACCCAUGGUGUUGAUUUCUCUGGACAUGAACAUCCUCUGUGUGUGGAUCUAGAAGAGGGUGACCUUCACUGCAGUCCCUUGAAUACCUGGUUACGCCUCUACAGCUGAAGAUCUACAGCCGACCUGGAAGAUAAGCACAAGCUGUACAAAAGCCUGUGCUAGCAGGAGCCCAGCAAACCUAAAUAUGUUGCUUUGGGAGAAUGCUUGAUGAUCUGAAUGUUUAUGUCCUUCUCUGUCUUCAUUAAGCAACAAAGUUGGAUCAUGUUUUUCUGCUUCAGGACUUAAGAGAUAAAGACAUUACAUUUCUUUGAGUUUAUGUAUUGAUGCAACAGUUAGUUCAGAGAGCUUUUCAUCCUCUUUGUCCAUUAACCUACCCUGGGAAUUUAAAGUCCAAUAAAAAUACAGGUAAAUGUCAAUAUUAAUUAUUUUAUUGUUGCUCACUUUAAUUUCUAACCUGUCUGAAUGAGAGGCUGCAAAGAGAAAAAAAAGCUAGCUUUUUAAUAAAGUUACAAAUGUUGACAAAUGGGUUAAGAAUCUGAUGUUUUAGUGCCUGGAAUGUAUUAGCUAGUACAUGAAGAUUAGCAAUAUAAUAUUCCCUCUGGAGCGUGUCAAGAGAAGGGCAACAAAGCUGGUGGGGGGUCUGGAGCACAGGCCUUGUAAGAAUUGGCUGAAGGGGCUGGGAUUGUUCAGUCUGAAGAAGAGGAGACUAAGGGGAGAUUUUAUUGCUCUCUAUAACUACCUGAAGGGAGGUUGUAGUGAGCUGGGGGUUGGCCUCUUCUGUCAUGUGACUAGUGAUAGGACUAGAGGGAAUGGCUUCAAGCUGCGCCAGGGAAGGUUCAGGCUGGACGUUAGAAAAUACUAAUUUUCUGAAAGAAAGGCACUGGAAUGGGCUGCCCAGAGAGGUGAUGGGGUCACCGACCCUGGGGUGUUCAAGGAACGUUUGGAUGUUGUGUUGAGAGACAUGGUUUAGCGAGAACCAUUGGUGAUGGGCGGAUGGUUGGACUGG
ensembl:lncRNA